CUGAAACUAACCCUAGCCUCCAUCCGUCUCAUACCCUCAUUCACUGCAUCUAUCCCCUGUUUCCCCCUUUCCCUUCCCAAACGGUUACUUUGGCCAUGAGAGCUGACAGCUGAGAGAUAGAGAGUCUGCUACUCUGCUUCAGUUCGUCGCCGGCGCGGAGACCCAGCAGCCAGCAGCCAGCAGCUUCAGCCAGAGUUCGUGCGCCACUCACCACCGCGAAGAAGCAGUUGCCUCCUCGUCGCCUACUGCCUCCAGGUUGUCAGUCGUGAGUCGCCACCUCCUGUCUCCCUCUUCUCUGCUCUGCUCGUCCCUCCAUCCCUCCAGGGUCCAGCCGUCCAGCCGUCCAGGUGACUUGAUAGUAUGUCCAGAAGGAACAACUUGUAGGGAGCCAUAUCUAUUAAGAUUCAGCUUAUUGUUUGCUGAGUUGCUGAUGAAAUAGUUUCUGUGGCUAUGAAUGCUCAUGUCAGCAUGUUCUAUGGGACCACAGCGGCAGGCUUGAAGUGUUGGACCCAUCUUCUUCUUCAUGAAUCCUCGGCCAUGUUACCACAUUCACAUUAUGUUUAUUUUUAGGAUUUGAGACUUAAUGUUUAUUAAAAUGUUAUUGGAGAUAUGUUUUUUAACUGUUAAUUUUUAAGUUUUUAGCUA